rnacentral:rRNA from 1 species
GACGAACGCUGGCGGCGUGCUUAACACAUGCAAGUCGAACGGAAAGGCCCUGCUUUUGUGGGGUGCUCGAGUGGCGAACGGGUGAGUAACACGUGAGUAACCUGCCCUUGACUUUGGGAUAACUUCAGGAAACUGGGGCUAAUACCGGAUAGGAGCUCCUGCUGCAUGGUGGGGGUUGGAAAGUUUCGGCGGUUGGGGAUGGACUCGCGGCUUAUCAGCUUGUUGGUGGGGUAGUGGCUUACCAAGGCUUUGACGGGUAGCCGGCCUGAGAGGGUGACCGGCCACAUUGGGACUGAGAUACGGCCCAGACUACUACGGGAGGCAGCAGUGGGGAAUAUUGCACAAUGGGCGGAAGCCUGAUGCAGCAACGCCGAGUGCGGGAUGACGGCCUUCGGGUUGUAAACCGCUUUCGCCUGUGACGAAGCGUGAGUGACGGUAAUGGGUAAAGAAGCACCGGCUAACUACGU